GGGGGUGUUUUGGAUUCGACAUUCGGUCUGAUACGGGAUAAGCACGUCGUAGGCUCGGCUACGUUAAAACGGAACGUUAAAAUUAAACGCAAAAAACAAUCAAAAGAGCUCCUCUAUGGAGUUCGCUCUUGCUGCGUAAUUUAGUCAGCACGUCGACCUGAGGUUUUCUGUUCCCUCAGCAAUCGGCGUCAGAAAAACAGACAACGCAAUCCGAUUUCUCGGUAGGAUUGUUGUUAUCACGAGAUCAUCGAAGCAAGGUUUGUAGGUGAACCGAAGCAAGAAAAAUUUUAAUCACCAACUAAACGUGUAGAAAGUGCCGAGGACGGUCGGGUGGACCGGGGUUCAAAUCCCCGCAUCUCCACCA
rfam:Firmicutes bacterium CAG:475 genomic scaffold, scf25